GUAAACAUGAAUAAACACGGAUAGGUGUAUAAUCUAACCUGGCUUAAAUGCCUUAUAUAGCGGUCGGAUACCUAUCUUGACUUUAUAUGCAAUACAUUCAUUGCUAACCAAGGUAAAAAGAGAAGGGAAGUCUUUAUAUGGAAGAGUAGAUUCCACACAAAAAUCUCUUUGUUGUCUUUGGCUGUAUGAUUCCUAUUGACGGUUGUUUUUAACGUGUUUGGGUGACAAAGCUGUCAAAACACGAGUCGUUAUUGCGUUAAUACUCGGAAUUUACUGUGUACUCCAACCAUAUUCCACCCGAUAGUUUUUAUUCACGAUUUGGACUUAUUUUCUCCAAGAAGCUAAAACAAAAUCGAUCUUUGGCGUUUCUUGGCCAUGCUGGGAAUUCUACUAGAAUCGCGGGAUUUACCUAUGCCGUGGUUUUAGUCUGGAUUUGAUUGACAAACAAGAAGGACCUUGUUUACAUCAUAGGUUUGCUUAGAUACGCGACAUCCAAGGCUUUAUUACAAGAAUGGUCUAACUAGCGGUAUACCGGAGUGUAAUUAUUGACAUUUUCAUUUGGAACUUUGUUGAGGACCAUCACCAAAGAGCGCGCACUUGUCCGAGGCUUUUAAAUGAAUUAAGAAACAUCUUUGCACUAGGACUCAUUGUUCAGAGGAAUUUUUUUUCGUGGACGUGUGUGAAAACGCUGUAAAAAAGGAGCUCAGAAAGAUAACAAAAAAAUACGUAUACAUUGAUAUUUGUGUAUACUGUUGGCUGGUAUUCUGCCAGAAAAGAUGAUGGAAAACCAUGCAUACAGAGACCCAGAACUUCCACAUUAUAUGAGAGGUGCUGGUAAAGGUUUCACAACGCAUUUCUACAUCAAUGGCGACGAGCAUUACCAAAGUAAAUCAUUGCUAGUCAACCCCAAACGCUACAGAAACUUUGACACGUUUCUAGAUGAUGCCACGAAGUCUCUGAACCCCCGUUUCGGUGCAAUUAGGAACGUUUACACUCCUUUAGGGAAGCACAAGAUUACCAAUUUCGAUGAUUUGAGAGAAGAUGGGCAGUACGUAGCAGCCGGGGUGGAGAGAUACAAGAAAAUCGGCAAACCAUACACAGCCAUAGAAAGCCAUAGUCCAAGACCCUCCAAAAUAAAUAAAUCCAAUUUUAAUAGUAGAAUUGAACCUGUUGUUCACAGCAGAAUAAGACAGGAUGCCAGGUUUAGGCAAAGUCAGACUCUGGCAAGCAGAGCUAAGAGAAUCACAGUUGCUAUAAACAAUGAUGAUAUAGACCACUCCCAUGUUGUAUUAAUUCCUGCCAAGAAAGUCAACAAUCUUCAAGCGAUCAUAGAAACUAUAGAUGAUGACCUCAAUAACAACAGGGGCAUUCAGUUCAGGGUUGAAUAUUUGGUUGACACAGAUACCGAAGAGGUCUGUACUCACCCUGAAGACAUCAUUGAAGAUCACAUCUAUGUGGCCUGUAAUAAAGGCCGUAGAUAUAUUCCAAAGACAUACUCCAAGGAUGGGCGGAAAAACUUUGUGGUCAUCCCCUCACCGCGUCCUCUACAGAGGCCUAAGUUUAUCUGGGAAAGAUCUAAUCUGAAUGGCUCUCGGGAUAACAAGAGACCUAGUGAAUUUUAUACAUUAAGAACCCUUCCUCCGAUUGGAUCCAAGAACUACAAGGGCUCCCCAGACAACUCUGUAACAUCAAAUCCGGAGUAUGGAAGUAGAAAGAAACCUCAUCAAGCAAAUGGUGCAAUUCACACAAAGCCACAGAAGCACAAGCGUACUCCAGAGAAGAAAGCUAAGCAGACGGACUAUGAUAAAGAUGAUGGUGGUGUCUUUAAGGCCAAGGACACAAACAAGCAUACUAAAGGAGCGAGAGAGGUAGGGGAGACAAAAGAUACAAGGACAGACCUCCCCAUUGAUCAAGUCCCUGCGGAGGAGGUUAAGGAAGAAACCCUUUACGAGGAAGAAAACACAGCCAAGGUUCCCAGUGAAAUAACAUUAACUCACAAGCAGUCUGCCGAGGGGGAGGAAGACGAUGAAAUUUAUGAUCAUCAUGGUGAUCACUAUGAUGAUGAUGAUGAUAAUGAUGAGGAUGAAAAGAUCAAAAGUCAGAAAACACCAAAGGCGCCCCAGAAUUCAAACAAAGAUAAAAAUUCAAAAACUAGUACAAAACCAGACAAAAAGGAAACCACCCAUAAAACCAACAGCAAAACCAACAACAACAACAAUACCAACAACAACAAAACCAACAACAACAACAAUACCAACAAUAAAACAAACCCAAAACCAGCAGACCACUCCCAUGGUGCAAAGGACCCUGCACCCAAAAAACAUUCAGGAACACGUGGAGAGUUCAACAAUGUGUCUCCCCUCCCCGGCAUAGGAAAAAAUGAUACUAACAGGUCCUCCACUCCAGUGGGAAGAAAUGGUUUUGAUUCCCCCACACAGCAAGAAAAAGAUUUGGCUGCAGCAAAAAUACAAGCAAAUUAUCGAGGACAUAAAACUAGGCAAGAACUUGCGAAACAAAAAGAAGGAACAAAGAAGAAUGAUGCUGCAAACAAACCGCCAGAUACCAAAAUGGAUGCUGCAAGCAAACCACCAGACACCAAGAAAGAUGCGGGAAAGAAACCAGAGUCGAAAACAAAGGAGGAUGAAGCAGCAACGAAAAUUCAAGCAGGAUUCCGAGGACACAAAACACGACAGGAUCUUAAGAAACAAAAGGAGAACCAACAGGUAAAGGAUGCUAAAAAAUCUUCCGUUAAUACAGGUAAGACAGCUUCCAAAGGAAACCAGAAAAUGAGUGAAGAAGACAAAGCAGCAACAAAAAUCCAGGCUGGUUUCCGAGGACAUCAGACCCGAAAGGAGCUUGCACAGAAGAAGGUAAUGAAAGAAGACAAGGAGUUAGACCAGGCUGCAACUAAGAUCCAAGCCAAUUUCAGAGGACACAAAACUAGGAAAGAACUGAAAAAGAACCAGCCACCAAAAGACAAUAACAAGACAACAAAGCACUCCAGUGAAGAAGAGCAAGCAGCAACCAAAAUCCAAGCAGGUUUUCGGGGUCAUCAAACUAGAAAACAAUUAAAUCAACAGGUAUGUUAUGACCAAGGAGCACACUCUGCUGUUGUCAUCAAGUCUGUAAAACUUCAGUCAUCAAACCUUCUUGAUUACAGCAAAUUUAACAAUGAGGUAGAGGAUGAAGAAAAUGAAUUGAGGUUAAUUGAAAUUAGGCAGAAAGCUGUUACUGAUUUGCAAGUCUGUCUAAAAGCCAUUUUAAAAAGGGGUUUUAGGUGGUCCUCAGCAUCUACUGGUAAGUGGUCCCUGGGAACAGAACGUGUGUCUAAGAUUGAAUUUGACAAUGUCGAUAUAGCUAAAUUUAAAGCAAAGCAAAUUUUCUUUGGGUUUGUUACCUUUUUUCAAUCAUCAUUUCGAUCAACUUUGUUGAGAAAGGCUGUGGAAGAGAGGGAAGAAAUGAUGAAGGAAAGGGAGAAAGAAAAAAAGAAUGAGAGGAAAAUGAAAGCUAUUGAGGCACCUCCAGAUUUAGAUAUGGGUGUUAGUUGUGACAAAAAUACAAAAAUCAGUGGGAAACAAGAAAAAUUGAAAAUGGCAAAUGACUUUGAAAGUGUGAAAGUUGAUGCAAUAACUAUGAUAGAGUUGUGUUGCAAAGACUGUGUACAUAACAUAAAAAUGAAAGAUAAGGUAAGGAGAGUAGAUGGUCAAAAUAUUCUCCAAUCACAUCUUAAAAUGUUUCUCAGCAGACUAGCUGUUAAAAAUCGUCUUGUUAGGAAAGAAAUGUUGCAGGCAAAGUCUUUUGCACAGGAAGAAGUAUGGAAUAUAUUUCAGUCACUGGAAGAUAGAGAAAUUGCAGCCAAGAAGAUACAAGCAGGGUAUAGGGCAAUGGUAAUAAGAAAAAAAUUAAGUGAGGCAUCCCUAUCAGGCAAUGUAAAAAUUGUUUCAAAAAUUGACAUUGGGAAAACUGAUGCUCUGAAAACUUUACAAAUGCUCUGCAAAAAUUAUGUACACAGGAUGAGAAUGCAUAAUGAGACUAAGAAAAAAGAAAGCCAAAUUAUUCUCCAAUCUAAUUUUAAAAUGUUUCUCACCAGAUUAACUGUGAAAAACUGUCUUGUUAGAAAAGAAAUGUUACAAACAAGGUCUCUUGCACAAGAAGAAGUUUUAAAAAUAUUUCAUUCAAUGCAACAAAGAGAAGUUGCAGCAACAAAAAUACAAACAGGAUAUAGGGGAAUGGUGGCCAGAAAACACCUAUGUCAAGCUUCAACUAACGCAUUCCCGUUAAAUAAAUCCAUGGCCAUAGGGAACUUGCAUCCUAAUCUCAAACCAUUGAAAAUGAAACAUGAGAGCAAAACAGAAAGUCAGCAUAUUCUCCAAUCAAAUUUUAGAAUGUUUAUAACAAGAUUUAAUAUUAAAAACCGCCUUCUUAGGAAAGGAAUGCUGCAUGCAAAGUCUCUUGCUCAGGAAGCAGUUUUGAGUAUAAUCCAAUCAUUGGAAGAGAGAGAAUUUGCUGCAGCUAAGAUACAAGCAGGAUAUAGGGGAAUGGUGGUUAGGAAAAACAUUAGGGCAUCAGUAGUUAAAUCAGAUGAAACAUCAAUUAAAUCACAUUCUGACCUUGUGACUGGAAAUCAAAAUGAUAUUUCAUCUUUUUACAAAGACCAUUCGGCAAAAGAAAAUGACAUUAACGACAGAAAUAGUAUCAGAUUUAGUGUUACCUCUACCAGUAAUCCUAUCUAUGUAGCUGGUGCCAAAAGCACACAGGUUAAUAGCAAUGCAUUACUUGAAGUACAGUCUGCAUGCAGAAGUUACUUUACAAGAAAACUGUUGAAACAGAAAGUUGCAAAAAACAAGGUAUCCAUUGAUUCUAUAGAUUUGACAAACGAAGAUCAAGAUUUGCAAAGCAAUGCUGCUAAGAUUAUACAAGCAGGUUUUAGAGGGCAUUGGUUAAGGAAUAAGUUAGGAAUAACAAAGUCUAAAAAGCUGAAAGGGGAUAAUGAAAAUGUAAGAGAGAUUGUUAAUGGACAUAAAAGGGGUAAAAAUGUGCAAAGGCAUCAUUGGGGACCCCUAACUAUAAAACAGCAUGAACAAGAUGUUGCAGUAACAAAAAUCCAAGCUUGUUACAGGGGCUAUAAAAUAAGGAAGGGGAUUUCAAUGGUCAAAAGUAACAGUUUUUCUAAACAAUGUGUGCCAACAAUAGUUAUUGAAGAUUUUACUGACAGAUCAAAUUCUCAUUUGUCAGAGAUUUUAGUGGGAACAGAGAUAAUGAAUAGAAAAGAUACAAUGGACAUUAAACAAAAGGCAGCAUCAAAAAUUCAAGCUCAUUUCAAAGGAUACAGUUAUAGAAAAAGGGCAAGAUCUGCAAAUCAAGUUUUGGGAAAUGAUUUGAAUGAUCCCAGAUUUAUUCUGUUUCAAAAUAAAGUCACAUUAUUACAGGCUGCUAUUAGAAGUGUCUUAUUAAAAAGCAAGGAGGAUACCUUUGAUGAUGGGUUUUGCACUCCUCCUUCUUUCACCCAUCCACAUUUAGAAUUUGAAAAGCCUACUAUGAGAAGGGUUUCUAGCAGCUACCCAAAUAGACUGUCCAACAAAAGACAGAUGAAUGUUCCUCAAAAUAUUCAGAUAGAUGAAUAUAUCACACUGUUGCAAUCUGCUUGUAAGGGUCUUGUUACAAGAGCUACUAGUUUACUAUGUUUAAAGAAAGGCAUGUUUGAUAUUUCAACUUCAGGUGAUGAUAUUUUGGGGGGAAAAAUAAAGGACAAUGCAAGAAAUGAUAUACAGUCCAGAACUUUUGUCCUAAAUGAUGAAAAAGAACAAACUGCAGUUGAUACAGGACAAUCCAGUGAUUCAUUAACAGUAAACCAUUCUAUUGGUACUGAAAACAGCUCUCAAAAUGUUCAAGUGAAAGUGGUUGAAGACAAUAAAACUAGACCAGUUAAAAUUGUUCAAAGAAGUGUUGUAUUCACUGCACAGGAAGGUGUACCUAGAUCUUUAAGAGUACAAGCUCUAGGUACCCAAUCAGAGUCUGAAAGAAAACCCCGUCCAAAAUCUUCUGAACUGAAGAGAACCUUACCUAUUCUUCCAACACCUUUUGUAUUAAGAUCAAAAACAGAAAUAUUUGGUAAGGAUGGAACCAAGAGAAAAACCAUAUCCAAAGAAAUGUUGGGAUUUUCAUUUUCAAAGCAAACUUAGACAAAACACAGAUCAUUUGGUUGAAAGUGAGUUGGUAGAGUCAAGAGGGCAUGGAAUGAUUGCUAAGAAAGUGAGGAAAGGGGUGAAAGCUAGUGAGACAAAUACAAAUCAAAAUCAAGGUGCUGCAACUGAAGACAUUGUUAGAAUAAAAGAUGUAGGAGCUGUGGAGCAUGUGUGUAGAAGUAAAAAUAAGACUAGUAAACAAGACACUAAAAUUGAAAUUGAGGUUGUUCGUACACCACCAUGGGAGAACAAAUGGUUGGGUCUAAAAUUUCUGGUACCAGUAAUGGUGAUGUUGCAAUCCCUGAUAGAUUAGUUGAGAAGGUCGGCAGAAUUGAUGAUGGAAAAAAGUUGAUAAUCCUCUUGAAAAUUUAUAUAAGAUUCAAGAAAAAGAGUGGAUUAUGCAGGGGGUCUGGAGUUAGUAGUGUUGUAAAGGGGGAUAGGGAUUUUAAAGCAGUAAAGGUUAACUCUAUUAGAGGGGCGAAAGGGUCUAUAAUCCCAAAACCAAUCCAAUCUGAUGACAAGAAAAUCCCAAACAAAAAAGAAAACAAGCAUGGCCCGAGUGUUAAUGACAGUCGCUAUGAAAUGUAAAUUUUCGAUAGAGAAGAAGUGUCUGAAUUAUUUCACUAUCAGUAACAGCUUUCCACAGGCAUUUCAUUCUACAUUUUCUUUUUAACAAUAAUGCAGUUUGAUUUAUUUUCUUUGAAAAAUUUCAACGCUUUGAGAUGGUUUGAUGACAAAAAACACACCCCUUUUUGUGUCAAAUUGAAAUGUUUAUGCACAUGCAAACUUAACAAAUUACUGAAUUCCUCACGCUCCAAAAACAAAAAAACAAAGACAGAAAAUGUAUUAUUUUUAUUUGUGUCCAUUUUGUAUAUUGCAUGAGUGUGCAUUUUACCUUUAUGCAUUUAGUUAUUUCGAUGCUUUAUAAAUAAAAUAGAGAAUUUCUUACAAACCUUGACUAUACUUUUCAGAAGCAAUCAUGAUCUAAGGAAGGUAAUAAAAUUGGAAUUACUGCAGUCCGAUUCUUGGAUAGAUUGGCAAUGAAAUGAGGUGACAGGCGGAUUUUCAUUGGUUGCUGGGACUCGAUCACCAUGACUUCCAGGGAUUUACAUUGUUUUCUUACUAACCUUACUCAGUUAACUAUUAUUGCAUGAUUUGUAUUAGUGUACAAAAGGAAUUUAUUUAUGACAUUGAUUUUGGAGUGUCAGAGUAUUAUUUUGGUGAGGCCUCGGACAAAGAUAGAUUCAACAUACCCGAAAAACGAAAAUCCAGAUUGUAGCACUGUGUAGAUAUAACUUUACUGAUCAUAAUUACAUGUUUCCUAACAAGUAUGUAGAUAUAAUCAUUAUACAGAAUAUUUAAUGUGAACUGUGAUAUGUAUAUAGUUCUUGUGUUUUGGUUGGAUCACAAAUGCUCAACCUGAUGUUCUAUUUUUAUCGAUAUUUUCCAUGUAUUGCAUACCUAUGUAUUCGCAUCACCCACCCAUAAUAUCUAUCCUUAUGUUGUUUUCUGAGAAGAAAAAAACGUUUAUUAUUAAAUUUUUUAUGUUUUCUUGUAAAUUUUGAAAAAAAAAUAUUCACUAUUUUUUUUUUUUAUUUGGUCAUAUGGAUGGAGAAUUUCUACAUUUAAUUUGAAAACCAUUCUAUAUUUCAAAACCCCAUAUAUUUCAUGUACAUCCAUGUAGACUAUUAAUCAGAUUUCAGAGCAGUGAACUUCAGCUUUUUUAAAAGAAAAAAAAAUGGCUUUCUUUUACUGAGUAUUACUGUGUUGAUAGAUAUAUAUAAACCUAUUGAAAAUAAAUUCUGAAAGAGGGAGAAUACCAAAUUCCAUCCAAACAUUCCGUCCACUUUAUUUUUGAAGAUUUUUGUUGUCUGUGAUAUCGAUUCUUUUAUCACAUUAUUAUAUUUUUACACACAACAGUUUCAGUAUUUAUUAUCCAGACCCUAUAACCCACACAUUAUUUUGUGACUGUAGAUUUUUCUCCGAUGGCUUCUUACUUGUGGUUUUUAUAUUUAGAGGAUUUUGGCUCUAUGCACAGAAGGACAAUCAAGAUUAGAAAGUCCCCAUGUGUUUUCUUCUUAACCUAUACAUGUAUAUGAAUGUAUAUAUAAUUUGUAAAGAAACUGAUAAAAGAUGUAUUUAUUUCUGUAUCUCUCUGAAUGUAUGAUUAAAAUGGUACAAUGUUACGUUAUAAAGAUUCUAUUGUCAAGUAUUGUUCCUCUGAAAUAAAAUUUGAUAUUUGA